rnacentral:rRNA from 1 species
CUUGACUGUAGCUUGGAAUUGGGUUCGGGCUUUUCUUGCGCAGCCUAGGUGGGAGGCUAUGAAGAUUUCCUUCCGGGGAAGUUGGAGCCAACAGUGAGAGACCACUCUGGAAAGGCUAGAAUCCUCAUGGUGAUCCUUGAAUCAGGACACUUGACAGUUUCAGGCGGGCAGUUUCUCUGGGGCGGAGGCCUCAUAAAAGGUAACUGAGGUGCGCAAAGGUUCCCUCAGUCUGGACGGAAAUCAGACAACGAGUGUAAAGGCAAAAGGGGGCUUGACUGCAAGACCUACAAGUCGAGCAGGAGCGAAAGCUGGCCUUAGUGAUCCGACGGUACCGUGUGGAAGGGCCGUCGCUCAACGAAUAAAAGUUA